UGAAAAAAAUUUUAUAGGGAGUCUUACCUGCCCAGUGAUAUAAUUUUAACGGCCGCGGUACUCUGACCGUGCAAAGGUAGCAUAAUCAUUUGCCUUGUAAUUGAAGGCUAGUAUGAAAGGUUUAAUGAGAGCUAAGCUGGCUCCUGUUAAUUAAAAUGAAAUUGUUUUUUAGGUGCAAAAACCUAGAUUGAACUAAAAGACAAGAAGACCCUAUUGAGCUUUAAAAAUCAUAUGCUGUGUAAUAUUACAGCCUAGCUGAAUUUUAGUUCAUUUAUUUUUUUAGUUGGGGCGACUCUGGAACAAAUAAAACUUCCAGUAAUUUUUAGAAUGCUUUUAAAGAUUUAUUUAACUGUGAUCCUGUUUUGAUUAAUAGAAUAAGUUACCAUAGGGAUAACAGCAUAAUCUUUUUUGAGAGUUCUAAUCGAAAAAAAGGUUUGUGACCUCGAUGUUGGACUAGAAUAUCCUAAGGGUGCAGAAGUUCUUAAAGGUUGGUCUGUUCGACCAUUAAAAUUCUACGUGAUCU
rnacentral:rRNA from 1 species